CUUUAUUCUGAGGCCCCAGCAGGAAACGAUCAGUGAUCACAUUGUGAAGUGACUCCAUGAUGGAAACAUCUCUGCAGUAUCUGCUCUUUUCCUGUUUGCUGCUUUGCUGCAAAAUAAAUGAAGUCCUCCCAGCUGGUCUGACUGUGAGUCCCAGCAGAUCUCAGUUCUUUCAAUAUGAAUCUGUGUCUCUGAGCUGUGAGGAGAACAACAGCUCUGCUGGAUGGACUGUAUGGAGGAACAGAACCAGAGGAACCAAGGCUCAGUGU